rnacentral:misc_RNA from 1 species
GUGGUCGGCCACUUUCUCCAGGUUCGGGUAUUUCUCUCGAAUAACCGCCAGCAUCUCGCUAUAAGAGAACAUCUUGCCCUCGUUCCACUUGUUGCCAUCAAACGGCAUAUAUUCGAUGAAGCGCACUUCUAUGGGGCUUUCACGUCCCAUUUCCACAAACGGGAUGAUCUCCCGAUCGUUGAUCCCGCGCAUCACCACACAGUUGAUCUUCA